UGGUCUUCUGGUGUAAGUGUA
rnacentral:siRNA from 1 species